rnacentral:rRNA from 1 species
AGAGUUUGAUCCUGGCUCAGGAUGAACGCCGUCGGUGUGCCUAAUACAUGCAAGUCGUACGCACUGGCCCAACUGAUUGAUGGUGCUUGCACCUGAUUGACGUUGGAUCACCAGUGAGUGGCGGACGGGUGAGUAACACGUAGGUAACCUGCCCCGGAGCGGGGGAUAACAUUUGGAAACAGAUGCUAAUACCGCAUAACAACAAAAGCCACAUGGCUUUUGUUUGAAAGAUGGCUUUGGCUAUCACUCUGGGAUGGACCUGCGGUGCAUUAGCUAGUUGGUAAGGUAACGGCUUACCAAGGCGAUGAUGCAUAGCCGAGUUGAGAGACUGAUCGGCCACAAUGGAACUGAGACACGGUCCAUACUCCUACGGGAGGCAGCAGUAGGGAAUCUUCCACAAUGGGCGCAAGCCUGAUGGAGCAACACCGCGUGAGUGAAGAAGGGUUUCGGCUCGUAAAGCUCUGUUGUUGGAGAAGAACGUGCGUGAGAGUAACUGUUCACGCAGUGACGGUAUCCAACCAGAAAGUCACGGCUAACUACGUGCCAGCAGCCGCGGUAAUACGUAGGUGGCAAGCGUUAUCCGGAUUUAUUGGGCGUAAAGCGAGCGCAGGCGGUUGCUUAGGUCUGAUGUGAAAGCCUUCGGCUUAACCGAAGAAGUGCAUCGGAAACCGGGCGACUUGAGUGCAGAAGAGGACAGUGGAACUCCAUGUGUAGCGGUGGAAUGCGUAGAUAUAUGGAAGAACACCAGUGGCGAAGGCGGCUGUCUGGUCUGCAACUGACGCUGAGGCUCGAAAGCAUGGGUAGCGAACAGGAUUAGAUACCCUGGUAGUCCAUGCCGUAAACGAUGAGUGCUAGGUGUUGGAGGGUUUCCGCCCUUCAGUGCCGGAGCUAACGCAUUAAGCACUCCGCCUGGGGAGUACGACCGCAAGGUUGAAACUCAAAGGAAUUGACGGGGGCCCGCACAAGCGGUGGAGCAUGUGGUUUAAUUCGAAGCUACGCGAAGAACCUUACCAGGUCUUGACAUCUUGCGCUAACCUUAGAGAUAAGGCGUUCCCUUCGGGGACGCAAUGACAGGUGGUGCAUGGUCGUCGUCAGCUCGUGUCGUGAGAUGUUGGGUUAAGUCCCGCAACGAGCGCAACCCUUGUUACUAGUUGCCAGCAUUAAGUUGGGCACUCUAGUGAGACUGCCGGUGACAAACCGGAGGAAGGUGGGGACGACGUCAGAUCAUCAUGCCCCUUAUGACCUGGGCUACACACGUGCUACAAUGGACGGUACAACGAGUCGCAAGCUCGCGAGAGUAAGCUAAUCUCUUAAAGCCGUUCUCAGUUCGGACUGUAGGCUGCAACUCGCCUACACGAAGUCGGAAUCGCUAGUAAUCGCGGAUCAGCAUGCCGCGGUGAAUACGUUCCCGGGCCUUGCACUCACCGCCCGUCA